AGUGAACGCUGGCGGUAGGCCUAACACAUGCAAGUCGAACGGCAGCACAGUAAGAGCUUGCUCUUACGGGUGGCGAGUGGCGGACGGGUGAUGAAUACAUCGGAAUCUACGGUGUCGUGGGGGAGAACGUAGGGAAACUUACGCUAAUACCGCAUACGAAGUACGGGUGAAAGCAGGGGAUCUUAGGACCUUGCGCGAGUGAAGGAGCCGAUGUCGGAUUAGCUAGUUGGCGGGGUAAAGGCCCACCAAGGCGACGAUCCGUAACUGGUCUGAGAGGAUGAUCAGCCACACUGGAACUGAGACACGGUCCAGACUCCUACGGGAGGCAGCAGUGGGGAAUAUUGGACAAUGGGCGAAAGCCUGAUCCAGCCAUGCCGCGUGUGUGAAGAAGGUCUUCGGAUUGUAAAGCACUUUAAGUUGGGAGGAAGGGCAGUAAGUUAAUACCUUGCUGUUUUGACGUUACCAACAGAAUAAGCACCGGCUAACUUCGUG
rnacentral:rRNA from 1 species